CUGUCUCUCUCUCUGUCUCAAAAAUAAAUAAAAACAUUAAAAAAAAAUUAAACUGAAAAGGCAUUUUCAACAACUGGUAAAGUGGCAGUUGUUUUCUUGCAAUUUAUUCUUUUAACAAAUGUUUAUUAAAUGUCUUCUGUGUACCGCAGAUACAGUAGUAAAGAACUGCUGUGACCUCAGUCAUCACUUACAGUGCUCAAUUCCAAGGUUUUACUUUCCUGUUUGUCUUGGUUUUCCUUCUCCUAUAAUCUGUUGUUCAACCUGAAAUCCUUGUUAGGUCUGUGGGAUCUCUGGGACUCGGGGUAAGAGACCAGGCAGAGUAGAACACAGUGGCCUUCUUCCUACAGAUGAAGGCGUUGGAUUGGCUCAGCAUGUCCGGAACUGCACCCGUACUGUAGGUGCAGGUAACAUGUGUGGAAUGCAGUACAAAGAGGUCUCAACAGAAGAACUCUCCAGAGACAGAACAGGCUGUCGGGAGGUUCAGAGCACCCACACUGAAAAUAUUUACACACGACUUCCCUUCCGAGACGGACAUUCUGCGAGGCCAUAGAUGUAAGCACUAAAACCACCCUCUAUGUCCAUUUGACAAUAGUCCCUUUCCAAUUUAAAAAACAUUUUUUUAAUAAAAAUUGGCCGAUUGUAAUAUAUUAAAUUUAAUACAUUUUAGUUGGGUGGAUGAAGUAGUCCAGUGAAACUGAAGCAUACAUAGUAACUGAGGAUAUUCUACUUAUUCGGUUUUUUCACAUGACUCCAUCACUAUUCUCGCUAUGUUCACUUGUGGAUUUAUGUAACUGGUUUUCUUCCAUCAGAGGUGGGUGAUCUACCCAGUCUCUCAACAUGUUUGAUGCUAAUCCCUGGAAAUCCUAUUCCAAACCAUAACCCAGUCAAGACUGACUUAAUCUGAAAGAUUUUUUUGUUAGGUAGAAGGUGACUCUUUUUUACAAGGGAUUAUUUUGGAAGGAGUAAAAGAUUCACCUUCUAUUUGGACAUAGGUUAAUUCACAUUUCUUGUGAAAGACUAGGUAUCUUAGCUUCCAAGAUUAAUAUAUAAACCUCUCAUGUCCAAAUUACCACACUUGGUACAAUCUAUUGUGAGCUGUUAACAAUAUAAUCUCAAAUUCUGAAUUGCUCAUGUGUGAAUCAUAACAAUGAUUUUCACAGGGGCCAACCAACCUCUAGGAAGGUAUUAGAAGAAUUUAUUUUUCCAAAUAGAACCACAGUUAUUUAUAAAAUUAUUAGAUAUGCCUCAGAUAUAUUGUGGAGAAAAGUCAUUGAUACUUUAAUCUUUUUUUAUAUAUUUAUGAUAUGAUGUAUAGUUCAAAAGGGUCUUUGGAGAUCAACUAAGAUUGAGAUCUCUGUAGAAUUAUUUGAUAAUUGUUUAACAAAUAACUUUUAUUACUCAUUCUGUUAGCGGAGUCCAAAUGGGAUAGGAGGAGGGAGGCUGACUCGUUCACCAUCCCUUCUGAGCAGUGUGAUCAUAUGGGACUUGGGAGAAGAAUCUCAGGGUAAUAGGGCAUGCUGCUACUCCCUGUGAUCUUCAGGAAGGUUCUUACAAGAAAGAGACCGUGGAAAACUGGACAGGAGCGUGUAUGUUUGCUAAGAAAGCCUGCCUGGAGCCAUACUAAACGCUGUACACAAAAAUUAUUUCAAGAUGGAUCAGGAACCUAAAUAUAGAAAAAUAAAACUAACGUUUCUUAUAGAAAAAAAUAUUCAUGACCUUUGGUAGAGAACAAAUGCGUAAGGACACAACAAAGAUAACCAUAAAAAAAAUCAAUUGGAUUUUGUUCAAUUAAGAAUUCCUGUUUAUGAAAAGAUGUCAUUAAGAGAGGGAAAAGAGAUAGAGAUUCACAAUACUUACAUCUACCAAAGGACUUGUGUCCAGAAUAUAUAAGGAACACUUUCAAAUCAGUAAGGAAAAGACAACCCAGUCUGAACAAUGAGGACGUGACCUGGAUAGGAACCUUACAAAAAGAGAAAACCCAAAUGGACAAUAAACCUAUUAACAGGUGCUCAACAUCAUUCCUCAGUCAGUUUCUUGAUUUUAAAAAUCUCGGCAUGGACCUCUCACAAAUGGGGACCUCCAGCUUGAACUCCAGACUUUGUAUCUGACUCAACAUCUCUACUUGGGUGUUUAGUAAGCGACUCAAACAACAUAUCCAAGGCACUGGCUGUUCACCGAAUACCAGCUUAUGCUCAGUCUUUCUGAUCUCAGUAAAUGGUAACAUCAUCAUUUUAACUACUUGGGCCAAAUGCCCUGGAUUGAUCUGAGACUUCUGUCCUUCAAUACCUCUUAUCUAACCUGUGAGAAAUUUUUGUUAGUUAUGUCUUUAAGAUAUACUUGGAAGCCAAACUUCACAGCACUUUACAGGUUAGCAGUUUGGUUUAGGCCACCACACCCUGUUCCAGACUUCACUGCCCUGCACCAUUGCCUGGCUGCAAUGUACUACCUGAAGAAUAGCUAAGGGGGUCCCUUUUAUGAUGUAAGGCAGAUCAUGACAUUUUUCUGCUCAAAACAUUCCAGGGCCUUGCUACCUUAGUCUAACAGACAAGGUCCUCCCUCACCAUGCACUGUGUUAUUGAUUCAGAUGUGUCACUCCAAAUUCAUAUGUUGAAGUCCUGACUCCUAUCACCUCACAAUGUGACUUCCUUUGGAAAUGCGGUCGUUAGAUGUAAUUAGUUAAAAUGAGGUCAUACUAGAGGACAGUGGAUCCCAAUCCCAAAUGACUGGUGUCCUAAUAAAAAGGGGAAACUUGGAGACAGACACACAUACAGGGAGAAUACCGUGUGGGGAUGAAGGCAGAGUUGCUGCCGAAGAUUGCCAGCAAGCCACAGGAAGCCAGGAGAAAGGUCUGCAGCAGAUUCUCGGUCCAAGCCUCUGAAGGAACCAACCCUGGAAGACACAAGACACCUUGACCUUAGACGUCUGACCCCAGAAAUAGAGGAACAGUGUGGCCCAGUGGACUGAAAUUAGCCUCUGCUGUUGGAGAUGAGGGUGAAGACUGGGCACUCGUAAGGCCUGAACGUCAGAGUACCACGCUUUCUGGCUUCAUUCAUCCCCGUGAGCCAUUUGUGCAGAAAAUGAAAUUUAAAACUCAAAAGUAUUCACGAUUUUGCCUCUUUCUUCUGUGCUACCUUCUGAGCUUAUUAUGUGAGCAGUUACUGCUGCCAAAUAUGCAACAUGUAUGGAGAUACCCAUUUAGCGAUGUAAGGUGUAGCUCAGGGACACCAAAACCCGUCUCUGCAGAAGGCCAUUUCUGUCCCACCUCUUUGUGGUCAUCAGGUACAGUUCAUUUCCCGGUAAUCAGACUUUUGUGAUCUCAGUUUCUUCCCGAAGAUGUUGGACUGUAUAACUUCACAAUGUCCACAAUAAUAACAACCAGAGAGGAACUAAAAUUCGCAGUCUUUGUGCAGUGAUGGCUGUUACAAAGGAAGAAGGGACAGCACCAUGGUUUGGACCCCAAAGAUUCUGCUUUUAGUCAAUUUUAUAGUUCUAGUUAAACAAACACCCAUAAAUACUUCUUUGUGUAUAUACUUAGGGAAACAAACAGGUAAAGUAAAAUUAGCUACAUAUUUACAAUGGGUAGUUCUCAGUAGUACAGGACAGGAAGGUACCAUGUGUCCUCCACCUAAAAUCAACAAGUAUUAUUCUUGCAACUUGCAUGUAGGUUUCAAAAAUUUCAAAAUAAAUGUGUGUGUGGGGGGAAUAGAAUAAGCAUUAUUGUAAAUUUUUGUUUCAUUGUGGUAAUCCUGAAUAAACACCGAGGUGUUUUUAAUAUCAAGUAUGAUGUAUCUCAAACAACUUAGAUGCCAUAUGCUUUAUGUAAAAUAAAAACCUUGAUAUCAACUCAAA